GUGAAACCCUUUCUCGGUUUGUAGAACAUUAGAAAACAUGGCUACCAGAACAGAAAUUACAUCACACACUCAGAAUGAGGCAUGGAGCCCUGAUGCAGGCGUAAGUACGAAUGGUGCCUCCACUGGAGCGGUCCAAGGGAGGCACCUAAAGGGAUUUUUAAAUAGAAGGUGGAACAAAUGGAAUUAUUACUGCAAAUGGAUUUAAUUGCCCUGAAGACAUCUGUGCAUUAGCGGACAAAUGGAUUUAAUUGCCCUGAAGACAUCUGUGCAUUAGCGGAAUUUGGUGAGUGCAAUAUUAAUCAAAGCUGUGUUUAC